rnacentral:tRNA from 1 species
GGGCGGGUAGCUGAGAAUGGAUUAGCGAUAUGGCAACAUCAAUAAGUCCAUAUAGACGCAGGUUCGAAUCCUGCCCCGUCCA